rnacentral:rRNA from 1 species
CUCGUAGUUGAAUUUCGGGGUUAGUAGGUUGGUCAUGCCUCUGGUAUGUACUGGUCUCACUGAUUCCUCCUUCCUGAUGAACCGUAAUGCCAUUAAUUUGGUGUUGCGGGAAUUUGGACUGUUACUUUGAAAAAUUAGAGUGUUUAAAGCAAGCUAACGCUUGAAUACAUUAGCAUGGAAUAAUGAAAUAGGACGUUCGAUCCUAUUUUGUUAGGUUUCUAGGAUUGACGUAAUGAUUAAUAGGGAUAGUUGGGGGCAUUAGUAUUCAAUUGUCAGAGGUGAAAUUCUUGGAUUUAUUGAAGACUAACUACUGCGAAAGCAUUUGCCAAGGAUGUUUUCAUUAAUCAAGAACGAAAGUUAGGGGGAUCGAAGACGAUCAGAUACCGUCGGUAGUCUUAACCAUAAACUAUGCCGACUAGGGAUCGGAUGAUGUUAAUUUUUUAAUGACUCAUUCGGCGCCUUACG